rnacentral:rRNA from 2 species
CCUGGAUUCAGCGGCGGACGGGUGAGUAAUGCCUAGGAAUCUGCCUGGUAGUGGGGGACAACGUUUCGAAAGGAACGCUAAUACCGCAUACGUCCUACGGGAGAAAGCAGGGGACCUUCGGGCCUUGCGCUAUCAGAUGAGCCUAGGUCGGAUUAGCUAGUUGGUGAGGUAAUGGCUCACCAAGGCGACGAUCCGUAACUGGUCUGAGAGGAUGAUCAGUCACACUGGAACUGAGACACGGUCCAGACUCCUACGGGAGGCAGCAGUGGGGAAUAUUGGACAAUGGGCGAAAGCCUGAUCCAGCCAUGCCGCGUGUGUGAAGAAGGUCUUCGGAUUGUAAAGCACUUUAAGUUGGGAGGAAGGGUUGUAGAUUAAUACUCUGCAAUUUUGACGUUACCGACAGAAUAAGCACCGGCUAACUCUGUGCCAGCAGCCGCGGUAAUACAGAGGGUGCAAGCGUUAAUCGGAAUUACUGGGCGUAAAGCGCGCGUAGGUGGUUUGUUAAGUUGGAUGUGAAAUCCCCGGGCUCAACCUGGGAACUGCAUCCAAAACUGGCAAGCUAGAGUAUGGUAGAGGGUGGUGGAAUUUCCUGUGUAGCGGUGAAAUGCGUAGAUAUAGGAAGGAACACCAGUGGCGAAGGCGACCACCUGGACUGAUACUGACACUGAGGUGCGAAAGCGUGGGGAGCAAACAGGAUUAGA